GGACUGUGUUGAAGUGCGUGAGGAAGUCCUGAAGCUCCAUCCUGGACAGCACAAACGUGAGAGAAAAUCCUCGUGGAGGGCUGGGAAGAUGGCCAAGCCAAUAAAAGCUACUGAUGUACAAGCCUGACAACCUGAGUUCGAUCCCAGUAUCCCACUGUGGAAGGAGAGAACAGACUCUCCCAGCACUGACGCCCUCACCAGCGAGGGAUGCCCCGCUCACAGACACAUAGAGAAAUACAAAACUAGGGAAACAGCUUGAAGUUAUAUAUUCCCUUAUGCCUGCAAGUCCAGUGCUGGGGAGGCUGAGGCAGAAAGAUUGCCACGAGUGUGAGGCUAGCCUGGUCUACGUGGUGAGUUUUAGGCUGACCUAACCUCGAUGUCCUCGCUCUGAAAACCACGCCCUUAGUGGUUCCUGCUGCUUCUGCCCUGACUUUGCAGAAUAGAUUCAGACUCCUAAAUCACAGCUGACAGGGACCGUUUCUCUGCAUCUGGCCCUGUCGCACGCCCUCCCACAGAAGAACUCACCAGAACUCGCCAUCCUCCUUUUUGACAAGCAAGGCGUCUCGCCACUCGGCGGGGAGCAUGUCCCAGCGUGGGCAGCUGAAGAGAGCAACGUGAGCUGUAGGGAUGUGGGGGCCAAACCCCCACCCACCCCAAGCCCAUCCCACCUGUCACUCCAGGGCCCCGACCACUCCACACGGCCCCACGGGUUCCUCAGCCGCAGCAGCCGCACCUUGGUGAAGCCCAGGGACAUCUAAAGACAAUGGCAUCUGUGAGGGAGCCCUUCGUCCGUGCGGAUCUCACCCUGAUCGCUCUGAAAGAGGACGAGACUGUGAGGCUGAGAUGGAAGCAGCUCUGCCUAGCCUUCCUCCCCACCCCAGCCUCAGGCUUCCAACCCAGGAGCUAUCCAAGCAGCAUGAAAUGCCAGGGGGCUCAGAGACGGUGUCCACGCUGAAGAGUAGAGGACCUCACCUACACCUCCCGUGAAGUCCACGAAAGCCUCGUUCAUGUGGCCUCCACGCAUCACCUCGUAGGAGCCGUGGAGCCUGUGGAACAGGCGGAGAUGAACUGCGGCUCAGCACAAAACUCCUGGAAAACCAGGGUUCCAGUGAAGCUAAGAAGGAAACGCUUGGAGCAGUGGGGAGUCAGAGGCCCAGGUCCCUGAGCCCAGCGUCCCGGACCCAGGUUCCAGCCCAGCCCUGCUUUACAUGAGGUCGCUUCCAUUCCACCCCUUUGGCCUUCUCUGAAUCGGGUCCCAGCUUGUCAUAGCCGAGGGCAGCAGGACCAGCAGGAAAACAAGGGUCACGAAACAGGAUCCCGGAAUCCAGGCAAGCCGCUCGGAUGGCUUCGUAGCUCUGGCCUUUAAAGAGCUGUGGGCCCCCAGCUCCAGCCCCGGCCUCGCCGUCCACCAGCUGGAUGGUAACCUUCCUGCCACUGCCGCCCU